rnacentral:ncRNA from 2 species
AAUUCAUCCAGAGCAGCUGAGGGAAUGGCCCUAUGAAGCUGCGGCAACCCCCUAGCGGGAAGGUGCUAAUUCCAGCGGAGUGUUCCGGCAGAUGAAAG